rnacentral:lncRNA from 1 species
AAUAAGACACUUGAACCCCACUGUAUACACACAAGGAUAUACAUGUCAGGUCCUUAGCUGAAAUCAGCAAGAGCCUGUGAAGAUGACUUUGAUGAAGUAGGAUUUUUUAAUAAAUGAGAAAAUCAUUUCCCUUUUAUUCUUACAUUCUUGUCCCAAAUCAGAUCCUUUGAUUUUUGUCAUUUGCUGCUAAAAUGAAUUAGCUGAAGGUAAACAUUUGUGGUGACAUGAAUCCAGCUGUUUGAAAGACCUUUUUUGACUAACCCAUGACUGGAAAAUA